CACACGACUCUCGGCAACGGAUAUCUCGGCUCUCGCAUCGAUGAAGAACGUAGCGAAAUGUGAUACCUGGUGUGAAUUGCAGAAUCCCGCGAACCAUCGAGUCUUUGAACGCAAGUUGCGCCCGAGGCCACUCGGCCGAGGGCACGCCUGCCUGGGCGUCACGC
rnacentral:rRNA from 1 species